rnacentral:rRNA from 1 species
UACGUAGGGUCCGAGCGUUGUCCGGAAUUACUGGGCGUAAAGAGCUCGUAGGCGGUGUGUCGCGUCGGCCGUGAAAACCUGCAGCUUAACUGUGGGCGUGCGGUCGAUACGGGCAUCACUGGAGUUCGGCAGGGGAGACUGGAAUUCCUGGUGUAGCGGUGAAAUGCGCAGAUAUCAGGAGGAACACCGGUGGCGAAGGCGGCUCUCUGGGACGGUAC